rnacentral:misc_RNA from 1 species
GAUGAAGAACGUAGCGAAAUGCGAUAAGUAGUGUGAAUUGCAGAAUUCCGUGAAUCAUCGAAUCUUUGAACGCACAUUGCGCCUUCUGGUAUUCCGGAAGGCAUGCCUGUUCGAGAGUCAUUAACAACCGUUUCGAUCCCUUUCUUUCAGAAAUUACAAAGAGGAAAAGGGUUUGGUUAUGGUGGAGGAGGGAAAGGGAGCGUUUAGCCUGUAAAAAAAGAGGCUGUGUUCCGCCUCCCCCCCAAAAUUGUACAGGCGGUCGUGUGCCCCCACGCAUCGAGGUGUUGUAAAAGCUGCCACGGCACUUUUCACCUGUGCAGUGCGAGAUUGGCCAGCCGGUUUAAAAACCCCUCCAAACAAUCAAAGGUUGACCUCGGAUCAGGUAGGGAUACCCACUGAACUUAAGCAUAUCAAUAAGCGGAGGA